rnacentral:misc_RNA from 1 species
AUGGAUUCAUGUUUUUCUACUUCUGUUCAUGUUUUGCACAUUUUGGUUGCUGUUUUGCUGUGCUUUCUGGUAGUAUCUGCAGAUGAUGACUUGGUUAUUUUAAUGCUUAAUAGUUUUUCCAUCUUUUAAUAGGAUUUAAUUGUGUUCAUAUUUGUAAAUCUUUUUAUGUAGGUACUGGAGCUAUGACUUUUCCAUUCAUAAGGAAUCUAGAGAUAUUUUCAUAUCUUUGUUUGUUUGUUUCUCUUGGUACAAGGUGUUGAUUAUUUAUUAAUUC